rnacentral:sRNA from 1 species
UCGUAGCCCCGGGUGCAGCGUUAUCCUUUUUCUUUUGCAAAAAGAAAAAGAUAUAGCGGAACACGGGUCUGAUU